UAAUGGGGGGUAACGCGUCCGAGGGCGGCU
rnacentral:sRNA from 1 species